rnacentral:rRNA from 1 species
GAUGAACGCUGGCGGCGUGCCUAAUACAUGCAAGUCGAGCGAACAGACGAGGAGCUUGCUCCUCUGACGUUAGCGGCGGACGGGUGAGUAACACGUGGAUAACCUACCUAUAAGACUGGGAUAACUUCGGGAAACCGGAGCUAAUACCGGAUAAUAUAUUGAACCGCAUGGUUCAAUAGUGAAAGACGGUUUUGCUGUCACUUAUAGAUGGAUCCGCGCCGCAUUAGCUAGUUGGUAAGGUAACGGCUUACCAAGGCAACGAUGCGUAGCCGACCUGAGAGGGUGAUCGGCCACACUGGAUCUGAGACACGGUCCAGACUCCUACGGGAGGCAGCAGUAGGGAAUCUUACGCAAUGGGCGAAAGCCUGACGGAGCAACGCCGCGUGAGUGAUGAAGGUCUUCGGAUCGUAAAACACUGUUAUUAGGGAAGAACAAAUGUGUAAGUAACUAUGCACGUCUUGACGGUACCUAAUCAGAAAGCCACGGCUAACUACGUG